CUGCCCGGUGCUGGAAGCUUACUGGAAGGGGUAAGCGCAAGCGAAGCUCUCGAUCGAAGCCCCAGUAAACGGCGGCCGUAACUAUAACGGUCCUAAGGUAGCGAAAUUCCUUUUCGGGUAAGUUCCGACCUGCACGAAUGGCGUAACGAUGGCCACACUGUCUCCACCAGUGACUCAGUUAUAUUGUAAUCGCUGUGAAGAUGCAGUGUAACCGCGGUUAUACGGAAAGACACCGUGAACCUU
rnacentral:rRNA from 1 species